UUUCGAGCCUCCACUUAGCAAAAAUACUGCGUUACUUUCGAUUAGCAAUAAGGGUUGUUUUACUAACGCGAUAGCAAAAUGCUUAUUUUGCUUGAAUUUAGUAAAAAAGUCAACUAGCUAGCCGCUUUGUUCGGAUAGCAGCCGCCGGCUACGAGAGAAAGAAAAAUAAAUCAACGUGAAUCAGUACGAUUGGCGGAACCUGUGGAGGCGGGGCUGAUAAGUCAGUGACGAAAUGGUAGCCAGACUAACACCGGAAGCGUACAGGAACUUACCAAUGAAUGAACUGUAAUGCGGUUACGGAAUCGGGUUCACUGCUAGUGGUGCCAAGGUGUGAUGGCCAAGUGGCCGACGGAAGGUGGAUAAAACAUCGGAAGCGAAUAGGUUGUUCCUGCCGGCCAUCAUUGCAGGAUGAUCGACAAAAAGGAACCAUUUUCACCCGGGUGAAAGACCAAUUCUAAAGAUCAAGUGGACAAAUUAGUUAGUUAGUUAAGUGACUUGCAUUUUUUUUAAAUAAAUGAAGUGAAAUAAUCUGUGUUGACUUUUUCAUAUUCCCUCCAGAAUUUCCAUAGAAAAAAUAAAAAAAAAUCAAUAUUCCUAA